rnacentral:tRNA from 1 species
AAGGGUAUAGCUCAGUAGUAGAGUAUGUGCCUAGUAUGCAUGAGGUCCUGGGUUCAAUCCCCAAUACCUCCA